UACGUAGGGACCAAGCGUUGUUCGGAUUUACUGGGCGUAAGGACGCGUGAGCGGCAAUUCAAGUCAUCUGUGAAAUCUCCGAGCUUAACUCGGAACGGUCAGAUGAUACUGCUUUGCUAGAGUGCAGAAGGGGCAACCGGAAUUCUUGGUGUAGCGGUGAAAUGCGUAGAUAUCAAGAGGAACACCGGAGGUGAAGACGGGUUGCUGGGCUGACACUGACGCUGAGGCGCGAAAGCUAGGGUAGCAAACGGG
rnacentral:rRNA from 1 species